UACAGAGGGGGCAAGCGUUAUUCGGAAUUAUUGGGCGUAAAGGGCGCGUAGGCGGCCUGGCAAGUGGAUGGUGAAAUCCCUCGGCUUAACCGAGGAACUGCCAUCCAGACUGCUUGGCUUGAGACCGGGAGAGGUGAGUGGAAUUCCCAGUGUAGCGGUGAAAUGCGUAGAUAUUGGGAGGAACACCAGUGGCGAAGGCGGCUCACUGGACCGGUGCUGACGCUGAUGCGCGAAAGCGUGGGGAGCAAACGGG
rnacentral:rRNA from 1 species